rnacentral:rRNA from 1 species
UACGUAGGGUGCGAGCGUUAUUCGGAAUUACUGGGCGUAAAGCGUGCGCAGGCGGCUCGUUAAGUUCGUUGUGAAAGCCCCGGGCUCAACCUGGGAACUGCCAUGGAAACUGGCGGGCUUGAGUGUGGCAGAGGGGGGUGGAAUUCCGCGUGUAGCAGUGAAAUGCGUAGAGAUGCGGAGGAACACCGAUGGCGAAGGCAGCCCCCUGGGCCAACACUGACGCUCAGGCACGAAAGCGUGGGGAGCAAACAGG